GACACAAGCAAUAUACCGAUCCUCACCUUCUUCCUUGCAAGAAUACAAGGAAAAGGAUUCUCGUCAAGACCAGAGGCAUGGCGAGGAUUGUGCACAACCUGAUGGCGGUCUCGUUCGUGGCUCUUGUGAUGAUUUCUUCCAACUCUCCAUCCUGCCAAGCCUGUAGGCACCCCUACAUACCUCUCUACUCUAUUUGAGCUGCGUGCUCUCGCUGCACUGGCUUAGUUUUAGACAUUUUUUCAUAGAUGAGUUAUGAUUUGAUCAACCACAGCAGUCUUGCUUUAGUAGUGCUAACAUUGCAUUGCGUUGCAUUUGCAUAUCAUGUGCAGGUUUCCCCCCCGGCCCUUGGUGUCGCCCACGGCCACCUUGCUUCCAGCCUCCGAAUAACUACUGUACAAGUGGCCCGAACUGCGCAUAUACAUGUCAGUUAAAAGGACACACGACCUAUAACGCCUACUGCAAACCACCUAAAAGAUCUGAUAACCCGAAGGUGUAUUUGUGCUGCUGCCCACCAUAAAUUUGACUGCCUGGUGCAAGUUUUUUUUAUAAAAAAAGUGAUUCCGAUUCGAUGCGCUGU
rnacentral:lncRNA from 1 species